CUGUUGACCUUGCUGGAUGCAGGGUGUUCUCUGGGCAACAAGCUGAAAGAGAAAUGCAGAAUACAAGAAAGGCCCAGCACUGUGAACUCCAGCAGCUCCAGAAGGCUGGUAAGGUGGAAUGCUGAAGAAGACAGAUAAUGUGCUUGGAUUUCUCUGCAGCCAAUUUGGAAGGCGACACACACACUCCAGGGAGGAUUAUAUCCCAGCAGGAGCAGCAGUUGACUUACUGGAGCCACUUUGCAGGGACCCAGUCCCCACUACUGGUGACAGUGACUAAUGGAGGAGCCUGGCGGACCUCGUGUGGAUGCAAGCAGGGAUGGUGCUGAUCCACAUCCGCCCAGAGUAAAAUCGAAGGCUCCAAUUUGGCCUGCUGAACAAACAUAUUUAUGGAGGCUUAUUGAACACAAAAUUAAUUUAGGAGGCAUUAAUCUGCAGAGGACUGGACUGGCAGCUGCAGUGGGGCGCUUAACGGAUGGGGGAACAAAAUGAGCCGGCUGCCACAACCCUUUCUUUAAAUGAGAAAAUAUGAGCUCCUCCGGGGCGCUGUGGACUCGGAGCUUUUCUCUAGAAUAAUGCAGCCUCCGGAUAGAUCCAGGGGACAAAAGAGAGUCCUGAAGAAUGUAGAACCUCAGAGACCAACAUCCUCACAUCAGUGUUGGUUUCAAGAUGAUGGACAGCUGCCAUGGGACGUCUCCUGCCCCACUCUGGCUUCUUUGCUGUGCGCUUGGCUUGGGGUUUAUUUGCCUUACUCUGUCUCCACGUUUGCAGACCAACCCUAGGAGCUCCCAGGAGCAUGUUAGAAAUAGAGUCCCAGGUUCUGCUCCAGAUGGGCUGAAGCAGGGAAUGUAUUUUGACGAGGUUCCCAGUUGAUGUCUGUGUGCAUGUGCACAUGUGUAUGUAUCUGUGUGGAAGCCAGAGGCUGACCUCAAGCCAUUCCUCAGGCAUUGUCCACACUGGUUUUUGAGACAAGGUCUUUCACUGGGACUUGAGGUCAAUGAUUAGGCUACACUGGCUGACAGUGAGUCCUAGGGAUCCCUGGCUCUUUCUCCACAGUGAUGAGAUCACAAGCACACAGCACCCCACUCAGGCUUCUAAAGUAAGUGCUGGGAACUGAACUUGGGUCCUCUGCAGGAGCAUUUUGAGCUCUUAACCACUGAGCCAUCUCUCCAGCCCCCUCUAGUCAUAUAUAUAUAUCUUUCUUAUCUUUCUUUCUUUGAGACAGAGUUUCUCUGUGUAACUCUGGCUGUCCCGGAAUAUGCUCUGUAGACCAGGUUAGCCUUGAACUCAGAGAGAUCCACCUGCCUCUGCCUCCCGAGUGAUUAAAGGCAUGAGCCACCAUGGCCGGGCAUUAUUUAUUUCUUUUUAAAAUGUGUUUGUUAGUACUGUGUGUGUGCACAUGCACAGUGUGUGCUACGGUGCCUCUGUGGAGGUCAGAGGACAAGUUGUGAGAGUCGGUUCUCUCCUUCCAUGGGGUUCUGAUGAUCAAACUCGGAUCGUCAGGCUUGUGGCAGCACCUUCAUCUCGCCAGGCCUCGCCUUUUGCUUUUCUGUCUCAUUUCCCUGAGCCCAUCUGCAGCAGCUUUCUUAGAGAAGGCAGGGAUCUAAGGAACUAGGUUCCUUGUAUUUGGAGAAACACCUCUAUCCUGUAUCCUGUGUGAUUGACAGUUUGCUUGUGCCAGAAUCCCAGGUGGGGAGUAAUUCCUCCCCAGGUGUUUGCAGCAUGCUCUGUUUCUAUGCAACCUUUCUGUGCAGCUGUCUACGGAGUCCCUGGAAGCUGUGGGAUCCUUGCUUCUGUCGCCCGUUCUUCUGUAAUGCACCUUGUAUGGAACCUUCAUCACUGUGCUAGGUUUCUGGUGGCUUAAGUUUUAGGAACUUACUUCUCUGAAAAGUUUUCCCAGUUCCCCCACUAACGCAGCCUGAGAGGUCAGCUUCCAGAACUGCUCCAGGGUUAUGAAUAGAAGACCUCAGAGCAGUGGGACUUUAGGAAACUUUAUCUGAGGGUCUUCAGAAAUAAGUUUCUGUCUAUCUGACAGGUAAAUAAGGAAACACACUUUCUGAUGGUAACUUUCUCUUUUAUUUUAUCUUUAAAACAUCCUCUCUUUGAUAAAUCUGUCUCCACAUAGUUACAUUCCACAUUGUUACAUUCUCCACACAGCCAACUUACAUUCCACACUGUUACAUUCUCCACACAUCUCUCCACACAUUCUCCAGACCUCUUUUGUACAGUUAUAUCUCUUUUCUAUACAGCUUCAUUUUCCUCGUCUCCACAUAGUUACAGUUCUCCACACAGCCACAGCUACACAUCUCUUUCACCACACAGCUGCAUCUCUUCCUUCACUUAGAUUUCUCCUACAUACACAUUUCUCUUCUAUACAACAUCUUCUAUAUCUCUCCACCCACUCAGCUACUCCUCUCUUUCAGCGUGUGCAUGCACACACACAUGCACACACACACACACACACACACACACACACACACACUCACUGCACAACUCUUUACACAGUUCCUCCACAUCCCUCUUCUACACAGCCAAACUCUGCACACAUGAGUUACAUUUUCAGGGUCACAAAGCAUUUCUUGAGUAAACAGUCAGAGACAGAGCCAAACUGAUACACAUAAGGAAUC